CGGAGCUACUUCUGCAGGCCAUUAUUGAAUCACUUGCUCUGGUUGGAACUGUUAAAUGUUACAACAUCCAGAAGCAGAUCACUUAGAUUGUAUUUGAGGUUGAUACAUCAGAAGAAGUUUAAAACAAUGAGGUUUUGGGAAGACCUGGCCCAAGAUUAAAAUUUAUGGUCUUUGGUACAGAAAAAGUCAAAGGUCAAAAUCACCAGAAGAAAUUUAAAACAAUGAGGUUUUGGGAAGACCUGGCCCAAGAGUAAAAUUUAUGGUCUUUGGUACAGAAAAAGUCAAAGUCAGAAUCAAAAGAUGACGAUGGUAUAGCUCAGACAGAAUAUAGGAAAAAAUACCAGAGUGGAGAAGGAUCAGUUCCUCUACAUGAUCAUAGGGGAG
rnacentral:lncRNA from 1 species